AAGUCGUAACAAGGUCUCCGUUGGUGAACCAGCGGAGGGAUCAUUACUGAGUACUACACUCUCUACCCUUUGUGAACUAUUAUACCUGUUGCUUCGGCGGCGCCCGCAAGGGUGCCCGCCGGUCUCAUCAGAAUCUCUGUUUUCGAACCCGACGAUACUUCUGAGUGUUCUUAGCGAACUGUCAAAACUUUUAACAACGGAUCUCUUGGCUCCAGCAUCGAUGAAGAACGCAGCGAAACGCGAUAUGUAAUGUGAAUUGCAGAAUUCAGUGAAUCAUCGAAUCUUUGGAACGCACAUGGCGCCUUCCAGUAUCCUGGGAGGCAUGCCUGUCCGAGCGUCGUUUCAACCCUCGAGCCCCCUGUGGCCCGGCGUUGGGGAUCUGCCACGGCAGGCCCCUAAAACCAGUGGCGGACCCGAAGGGCCCUCUCCUUUGCGCAGUAGCAUUCGCCUCGCAUCGGGAGUCCUCGGCGUCCUGCCUCUAAACCCCCCACAAGCCCGCUUCGGCGGCACCAAGGUUGACCUCGGAUCAGGUAGGAAUACCCGCUGAACUUAA
rnacentral:rRNA from 1 species